UCUCAUCCUCUCUUCAUAUCUCUAUAUAUAUCCUCUGAUGCUGACGCAAGCUUUCGCGAUUUCGAUUUGAACGGAAUUGUGUACAACAGCAAAGGAUACCUCUUGCUGGUCUUGGUGGUGAGAGCAACACAUGGAAGAUGUUUAAGGUCGACGAAGAAACCGGGACGGCGAGUAUUGUGUUGAUGAAUGGAGAUCUGGCUGCGGCAGAUGUGAUGUUGAGGAAACGGGGAGAGAUACAGUUGUGGUGGUGUCCCAAAAGAAGACGUCGUUUCAAUGCUUUGCUGGAACAGAGUCUGGCCUAAACCGCUUUACAAUGGUUUGUUGGUGCGUCGAAGAUGGUUUGGUUGGUUCAACUGUUAGCUAACUCGGUGAAGAUGGGCUUGCAAAUCGUUCAUGUGGAGGAAGACAACGGAUCUGAUCCUGUUUACAGGGAAGCAACUGGUGACCGGUUUAAGGAUCUGGUUCGAGCUAUGCUUCAACCAGUUCUAAUAUUGGUGAUGUUUGAUUAAAAUUAGGAAUGAAUUUUAUAAGUAAAUAAUUGUAAGUUGGCAAUGAUUUUUACGUUGAAAUGUAAGAUAUGUACAUUUUUCAUAUAAAUAUAUUUUACUCU